CCUACGGGUGGCAGCAGUGGGGAAUAUUGGACAAUGGGGGGAACCCUGAUCCAGCCAUGACGCGUGUGUGAAGAAGGCCCUCGGGUUGUAAAGCACUUUCAGUGAGGAAGAACGCCUGGUGGUUAAUACCCAUCAGGAAAGACAUCACUCACAGAAGAAGCACCGGCUAACUCCGUGCCAGCAGCCGCGGUAAUACGGAGGGUGCGAGCGUUAAUCGGAAUUACUGGGCGUAAAGCGCGCGUAGGUGGCUUGAUAAGCCGGUUGUGAAAGCCCCGGGCUCAACCUGGGAACGGCAUCCGGAACUGUCAAGCUAGAGUGCAGGAGAGGAAGGUAGAAUUCCCGGUGUAGCGGUGAAAUGCGUAGAGAUCGGGAGGAAUACCAGUGGCGAAGGCGGCCUUCUGGACUGACACUGACACUGAGGUGCGAAAGCGUGGGUAGCAAACAGGAUUAGAUACCCUAGUAGUC
rnacentral:rRNA from 1 species